AAUACUUAGGAAUCUGCCUAUUAGUGGGGGACAACAUUUCGAAAGGAAUGCUAAUACCGCAUACGCCCUACGGGGGAAAGCAGGGGAUCUUCGGACCUUGCGCUAAUAGAUGAGCCUAAGUCAGAUUAGCUAGUUGGUGGGGUAAAGGCCUACCAAGGCGACGAUCUGUAACGGGUCUGAGAGGAUGAUCCGUCACACUGGGACUGAGACACGGCCCAGACUCCUACGGGAGGCAGCAGUGGGGAAUAUUGGACAAUGGGGGCAACCCUGAUCCAGCCAUGCCGCGUGUGUGAAGAAGGCCUUUUGGUUGUAAAGCACUUUAAGCGAGGAGGAGGCUCCUGUAGAUAAUACCUACAGUGAGUGGACGUUACUCGCAGAAUAAGCACCGGCUAACUCUGUGCCAGCAGCCGCGGUAAUACAGAGGGUGCGAGCGUUAAUCGGAUUUACUGGGCGUAAAGCGUGCGUAGGUGGCCAAUUAAGUCAAAUGCGAAAUCCCUGAGCUUAACUUAGGAAUUGCAUUCGAUACUGGUUGGCUAGAGUAUGGGAGAGGAUGGUAGAAUUCCAGGUGUAGCGGUGAAAUGCGUAGAGAUCUGGAGG
rnacentral:rRNA from 1 species